rnacentral:rRNA from 1 species
AAACCAACAGGGAUUGCCUUAGUAGCGGCGAGUGAAGCGGCAAGAGCUCAAAUUUGAAAUCUGGUACCUUCGGUGCCCGAGUUGUAAUUUGAAGAAAGCUGUCUUGGAGUUGGCCUUUGUCUAUGUUCCUUGGAACAGGACGUCACAGAGGGUGAGAAUCCCGUGCGAUGAAGUGUCCAAUUCUUUAUAAGACGUUUUCGAAGAGUCGAGUUGUUUGGGAAUGCAGCUCAAAGUGGGUGGUAAAUUCCAUCUAAAGCUAAAUAUUGGCGAGAGACCGAUAGCGAACAAGUACUGUGAAGGAAAGAUGAAAAGAACUUUGAAAAGAGAGUGAAAAAGUACGUGAAAUUGUUGAAAGGGAAGGGUAUUCAAUCAGACUUGGUAUUUAGUUAUCAUUACUCCUUGUGGGUGGUGCUCUAGCUUUUUACUGGGCCAGCAUCAGUUUUGGUGGCAAGAUAAUGGCAGUUGAAUGUAGCUCCUAGAGUAUUAUAGCUUCUGCUGAUAUUGCCUACUGAGACUGAGGUCUGCGGCUUUUGCCUAGGAUGCUGGCGUAAUGAUUGAAUACCGC